UGUUCGAGAGCGAUGGGGACGUUGUCGACUUAGUGGGUACUUUGUAGAGACGCUUGUGGUGGGGGACAAGCUAGGCGUACUUCCGCACACUAUCCGGGUCUCCCUCGAGGGGGAGCUCUUCGCAGUCGACGCCACAAAUAACAAUAUAGUUCGGAUCACUCCGCCUCUCUCCCAGUAUAGCAGAGCAAGAUUUGGUUGCCGGGUCAUUUAAGGGAUUCUCUGGACAUGUAGAGAUGGUAAACCUGCAGAUGCUCGUUUCUAUCGUCCAAAAGGUGCCGCUAUGGAUGACAAAGGGAAUGUGUAUGUUGCUGAUAUCUCCAAUAUGGCUAUUCGAAAGAUAACUGAAUCAGGUGUGACUACUAUUGCUGGAGGAAAAUCAAAUAUAGCAGGUUAUAGAGAUGGCCCGAGUGAGGAUGCUAAGUUUUCUAAUGACUUUGAUGUGAUAUAUGUUGGAAGAACUUGUUCUCUUCUAGUCGUGGACAGGGGUAAUGCUGCUCUUCGCCAAAUUUCUCUUCAGCAAGAGGACUGCCAAUACCAGUAUACUUCAGUAUCAACAUCAGGUUACCUGAAGCUUCCCAGUGAUGUUCUUUGUAAUUCUUUUUGUACACAACAAACAUGGAACUAUAACAUAUUACAACCUUACAAUAUGGCACCAUCGGUCCAAUAUUUUCUGUUAUCUUACAUAUCUUAUAUGGUUGCAUCUACAUAUGUAGAAGACCAGGAAGAAAAAAGUUGACAACAGACAAGAGAAGUCACCAGCAGCCGAUACUUCGCUGCAGCAUCAGUGCACGGAUGCCACCAGCAGCCUGACCCCCUGCAUGGACUAUGGCAGCGGCAGCAGCGACCGACCCAACAGCGACUGCUGCGACACCGUGAGGAACAUCCGGGGCACAAACCCCGUCUGCCUCUGCUACGCCGUACAGCAGACGCACAACUGCUCCUCCCCCUGGAGCGCCUUAGGGCUCAAGGUCGAACGCCUGCUCAUGCUGCCCGGUGCUUGCAACCUCGACAACUCCAACGCUAGCAAUUGUAACGGAACUACUGUGUUUCUUCUUCUGCUAGUGAAGAGAAACAUCUUGAGGAAGAAAGAGCUGAAAAGGAUAAGAAACGGAGAGUUGAAGCUUUGUCGGUUUUUUCUGAGAUGAUAGAAACUGAUCACAUGAUGGAUUCUUACUGGUCUGACUUGAUAUCUCAUAACCGCCCUACUAAAAUCGAAGUCGAAGUUCAUGCUCCGGCUCAAAGGAAAAAGAGGAAAACUUCAAGACAAACAUCUGCUCUGAUUUCUGUUCCUGUUGUACAAGCCACAGAACAUAUUCAAAUUGGAAUAGCUUGUCCCACUAUGAAGCAAGUGCUAUCCUCAGAUAGGCCCAUAAUCAGUGUCAAUGCAAAGAUAGUCGAUAGGUGUAUGCCUACAGCUUUGGUUUUGAAUUUCAAUAAAUCCAGUCCUCUUCCUUUUGAAGUUGAUCUGAUUAGGAUUUUCUGUCGCUAUGGGCCCAUAGUGGAAGUAGCAACAGAAGUUCAACAGGAGAGCAACAGCGUCAAACUAAUUUUUAAGCGGCUUACUGAUGCCGAGAUGGCUUUUAGUAGUGCCAGAAAAUAUGGAUGGUUUGGGCCAUCACUUCUCAGUUAUCAUCUCAGAUAUCUAUCGUCAACACCAGAUACUUUUGCUGACAUCCAACAAUCAGACAAUUAUGCUGCACUACCAGAACAUAGCAACUUGGAAACUCCAGGGAAUGAUUCUGAACAGUUGCAUUCUUGCUUAUGAGAUUUGGAAGAUGA